AAGGGGAGUGCAGGAUCCUGGGCUGUGUCCCCUGGCGCCCUGGGCUCCGGGGCCUGCGCGGCUGGAAUCUCGCUCCCAGGGCGCACAGCCCCCU
rnacentral:pre_miRNA from 1 species